CCCGGGCCUUGUACACACCGCCCGUCACACCAUGGAAGCCGAUAACACCCGAAGCCGGUGGCCUAACCCGCAAGGGAGGGAGCCGUCGAAGGUGGGAUUGGUGACUGGGGUG
rnacentral:rRNA from 1 species